rnacentral:tRNA from 1 species
UCCUCGGUAGCUCAAUGGCAGAGCAUGCGGCUGUUAACCGCAGGGUUGUAGGUUCGAAUCCUACCCGGGGAG